rfam:Thaumarchaeota archaeon CSP1-1 XT09_C0010, whole genome shotgun sequence.
GUAGUAGGUAGGAUCAGGGUGCUAGCCGUGCCCUAUUCUGAAACCGGCUAUAUGCAGAGAUCAGUAACUGCUGGAUAAAUCUCUAGAUAGAUAGUUCCCGCUUGGUGUAUGGAAAUGAACUCACGCCGAGGCGGGUGGAUGUAGGACUGGGAUUAUCCGAAGGGAUAAUUCCUAAGACCGAACCGUUGAAAGGGAUGAGGUCCGGGAGGGAGCAAUCCUAAGAUGGAACACUCACGCUUCCUCGUCAACGUGGCGGAUCUUGUAUGCCUUGAAAUGGGGCUACCCAUCUAGACUGGAACCAGCAGGGCUACUAC